CCUACGGGUGGCUGCAGUAGGGAAUCUUCCGCAAUGGACGAAAGUCUGACGGAGCAACGCCGCGUGAGCGAUGAAGGCCUUCGGGUCGUAAAGCUCUGUCCUAAGGGAAGAAUAAUGACGGUACCUUAGGAGGAAGCCCCGGCUAACUACGUGCCAGCAGCCGCGGUAAUACGUAGGGGGCGAGCGUUAUCCGGAAUCACUGGGCGUAAAGGGUGCGUAGGCGGCCCUGCAAGUCAGGAGUUAAAUCCCUCGGCUCAACCGAGGUCAGCUCUUGAAACUGUAGGGCUUGAGUGCAGGAGAGGAGAGCGGAAUUCCUAGUGUAGCGGUGAAAUGCGUAGAUAUUAGGAGGAACACCAGUGGCGAAGGCGGCUCUCUGGACUGCAACUGGCGCUGAGGCACGAAAGCGUGGGGAGCGAACAGGAUUAGAUACCCGGGUAGUC
rnacentral:rRNA from 1 species